rnacentral:ncRNA from 1 species
CGGCGUCUGAGGGCUUCGUGCCCAAAGUGCUAUGCUUCGGCCGGCAAAAAACAGUCAACUCAGAACUGGCACGGACCGGGGGAAUCCGACUGUCUAAUUAAAACAAAGCAUUGCGAUGGCGCUGGUCGGUGUUGACGCAAUGUGAUUUCUGCCCAGUGCUCUGAAUGUCAACGUGAAGAGAUUCAUCAAAGCGCGGGUAAACGGCGGGAGUAACUAUGACUCCCCUUGCUUGAGCCAUGUGCAGCGGCCAGGCUCUACCCGUGUUCCUCGGAGCACGGGGUUGUUCGGGUCCCUCUGCCCAGUCAUCUCAGAGUGAUAUCCUUCGCUUCUCUUAUAGCUUCCGGGGGUAACGCCAGCAGGGCCUGGAAUUGCCCUGCCUACCCGGAAGUGGGCUCGCUACCAGCCCUUCUUCUUGGGCUUUAGCACCCCUAGAGCUGGGCUUGUCCUGUCCUGCUUCUGGGUGGAGUUAAAAACCUGGCCCAUGGAACAUCUCUUGGGCGGGGGUCCGCUUGGCCUCAUCUGGCCCUGUGGCUCCCGGCACUUUAAGAGAAACAGGCUCUAGCCAAAUGCCUCGUCAUCUAAUUAGUGACGCGCAUGAAUGGAUUAACGAGAUUCCCACUGUCCCUAUCUA